AUUGAACGCUGGCGGCAUGCUUUACACAUGCAAGUCGAACGGCAGCGCGGGCUUCGGCCUGGCGGCGAGUAGCGAACGGGUGAGUAAUACAUCGGAACGUACCCAGAAGUGGGGGAUAACGUAGCGAAAGUUACGCUAAUACCGCAUACGAUCUACGGAUGAAAGUGGGGGACCGCAAGGCCUCAUGCUUUUGGAGCGGCCGAUGUCUGAUUAGAUAGUUGGUGAGGUAAAGGCACACCAAGGCGACGAUCAGAAGCUGGUCUGAGAGGACGGACCGCCACCCUGGAACUUAGACACGGUCCAGACUCCUACGUGAGGCAGCAGUGGGGACUUUUGGACAAUGGGGGCAACCCUGAUCCAGCAAUGCCGCGUGAGUGAAGAAGGCCUUCGGGUUGUAAAGCUCUUUUGUCAGGGAAGAAACGGGAGUGGCUAAUAUCCAAUCCUAAUGACGGUACCUGAAGAAUAAGCACCGGCUACCUACGUGCCAGCCGCCGCGGUAACAC
rnacentral:rRNA from 1 species